rnacentral:rRNA from 1 species
CCUACGGGUGGCAGCAGUGAGGAAUAUUGGUCAAUGGACGAGAGUCUGAACCAGCCAAGUAGCGUGAAGGAUGACUGCCCUAUGGGUUGUAAACUUCUUUUAUAUGGGAAUAAAACGUUCCACGUGUGGGAUUUUGUAUGUACCAUAUGAAUAAGGAUCGGCUAACUCCGUGCCAGCAGCCGCGGUAAUACGGAGGAUCCGAGCGUUAUCCGGAUUUAUUGGGUUUAAAGGGAGCGUAGGUGGGUUGUUAAGUCAGUUGUGAAAGUUUGCGGCUCAACCGUAGAAUUGCAGUUGAAACUGGCAGUCUUGAGUACAGUAGGGGUGGGCGGAAUUCGUGGUGUAGCGGUGAAAUGCUUAGAUAUCACGAAGAACUCCGAUUGCGAAGGCAGUUCACUGGACUGCAACUGACACUGAGGCUCGAAAGUGUGGGUAUCAAACAGGAUUAGAUACCCGAGUAGUC